UACAGAGGUCCCAAGCGUUGUUCGGAUUCACUGGGCGUAAAGGGUGCGUAGGUGGUCGGGUAAGUCUGAUGUGAAAUCUUCGAGCUCAACUCGAAAAUGGCAUUGGAUACUAUUCGGCUGGAGGGUUGGAAGGGGGACUGGAAUUCUCGGUGUAGCAGUGAAAUGCGUAGAUAUCGAGAGGAACACCGGUGGCGAAGGCGAGUCCCUGGACAAUCCCUGACACUGAGGCACGAAAGCUAGGGGAGCAAACAGG
rnacentral:rRNA from 1 species